GAUGAACGCUGGCGGCGUGCCUAACACAUGCAAGUCGAACGGAGAUUACGGACGGAAGUUUUCGGAUGGAAGCCUGUAAUUCUUAGUGGCGGACGGGUGAGUAACGCGUGGGCAACCUGCCCUAUACAGGGGGAUAGCAGCUGGAAACGGCUGGUAAGACCGCAUAAGUCGGUUAAAUCGCAUGAUUUGAUCGGGAAAUGAGCAAUCAGGUAUAGGAUGGGCCCGCGUCCGAUUAGCCAGUUGGCAGGGUAAAAGCCUACCAAAGCGACGAUCGGUAGCCGGACUGAGAGGUCGGACGGCCACAUUGGGACUGAGACACGGCCCAAACUCCUACGGGAGGCAGCAGUGGGGGAUAUUGCACAAUGGAGGAAACUCUGAUGCAGCGACGCCGCGUGAGUGAAGAAGUAUUUCGGUAUGUAAAGCUCUAUCAGCAGGGAAGAUGAUGACGGUACCUGACUAAGAAGCCCCGUCUAACUACGUG
rnacentral:rRNA from 1 species